CGUAUGUAUACGUGAUAUUACAACUGUUGGACUGUUGGACAUUUUUUUUUCUACACUGUAGAAAAUUUAGGGAGUAGUUAUACAUUUAGUGAAGGAGUUAAUAUAACUCCUUUUUCCAUAACUCCAAAAGUGUACGAAUUUUAACCCGUUGCAUGUCGACGAGAUUUUUACUGUUUGGCCCAAAAAACGAAAAGGUUUGAGACGAUCAACAAUGGAAUCGACUGAAUGUUGCAAGAAGAAACCGAAUUUCCUGCGAUGGGAUACGAUCUGAAUUACGAGAUUCUCACAGAAAUAUACUCUUCUCUCAUAUUAUAUCAACAGAAAAAUAAAUCACUCCCCCCCUCUCUCUCUUUUUUUUGCUAAAUUGUCCACUUUGAAGAAAAAUUGAUAAACGAAUCCAAGAUCGUAAAUUUUAUUUCCAGAAAUAGUCGUUUGACGACGAACCGCCGACGGUAUAUAUAUUCACGAUAGCUCGAGAGUUUUGUAGGCGGAGGCUGGUUGUGUGCCUGGUCCGGAUCGAUGAUACGCGUUUUCACUCCGAUGCUCUGCUAACGCUGUUACGAACCGGAACCAUGGAACCCAUGAUUGUGGAAGGGCAAACCGAGAGAGGGAGAGAGAGAUUGUAAGGGCAGAAUUGGAAGGGGAAUGUUACAGAGAGAGAGAGAGAGAGAGAGAGAGGGAGGAGCAGAAGUGAGAGAGAGAGAGAGAUGAACAAUACAGCACCAUUUGGCAAGAGAAGGAGGGAUGAAGAAAACAGCGAUCUAAACCAAAAGGGGUGGGGAAGAGGGAAGGAGAGAGUGAGGGAGAGGGGGAAGCGAGGAAACCAUGCCAGGACUAUAGCAUCAGGGGGUGGAUUGCCAGCUAUGGGGCAUAAAUAACCGCACGUCAACCCCCUCUGCGGGGGAUGCGUAUCUAUACAUGUUCUACUCGUACAAGCCCCUAUAUAUAUAUACAUAUAUAUUCCUCACUGUUCCAGCGCACAGAUUCGAUUUCCGUGCCAGAGCUGCUUCCUCGAUUACGACUGCAGUAAAUCAAUGCAAGCGAAUCCGUAGAAAUUAGUACUCACGCAGUGAAUCACUUUUAUUUGCCCAUUUAUCCCGAAUUUAAUUCCAUUACUUACAAAUUAUUAGAGGCUUCAAAUUGUAAACAAAUAAGAAAUCAAUUAUAUUCUGUUUUGAUAAAAUUUCAUGUAUAAAGAUGCGAAUCUUAUCUCUAUACUUUAUUUCCUAUAUCUCUAUUUUUUCUGUUUCUAUUUUUCCGGGUCUCUAUAUCUCUUGUCUUCAUAGGGGUAGGUCGUAUUUUUUCGAUAACGGUCAUCACUUGAGUUGAUAGAGUGAGGGUUCAGGGCUCGAACCAGUAAAAGUAUUUUUAAAAAAAAACGGACUUUACGGACCAAAAAUUAAAAAUUAUUAUUACUGACUAAAAUAUAACCAGUCCGAAUCAAAUAAUUUUUAAAAA